rnacentral:misc_RNA from 1 species
AACAUCGCGCACCUGCGGGAACCUGCGGAAGGAUCAUUACCGAGUGCGGGUCCGCGUGGCCCAACCUCCCACCCGUGCCUAUUGUACCCUGUUGCUUCGGCGGGCCCGCCAGCCUUCGGGCUGGCCGCCGGGGGGCGUCUCGCCCCCGGGCCCGUGCCCGCCGGAGACCCCAACAUGAACCCUGUUCUGAAAGCUUGGUGUCUGAGUGUGAUUGUUUGCAAUCAGUUAAAACUUUUAACA